rnacentral:misc_RNA from 1 species
AACGCACAUUGCGCCCUCUGGUAUUCCGGGGGGCAUGCCUGUUCGAGCGUCUUUUAACAACCCUCAAGCUAUUUAGUUUGGUAUUGGUCCUGCUGGCGAUCUCCGUUGGCAGGAUCUAAACUUAGCUGGCGGCGGGAUGAGCCCUGAGCGUAGCAGAUUAUACUCGUGAUGGGCGAAACCUUGCUAUCAGAAAGCCCUUAAUUUUGAACUUAGACCUCGGAUCAGGUAGGAUUACCCGCUGAACUUAA